GGCGGCGUAGCUCAGUUGGUUAGAGCGACGGACUCAUAACCCGUAGGUCAGUGGUUCAAAUCCACUCGCCGCUACCA
rnacentral:tRNA from 1 species